CGGAUGGAAAGCUUUGCAGUAAUAAAUUUACGUGGUGUUUCCACAAACAAAAACAAUUAACAUAAACUUGGUUCGCCAAAGUUUCACGAACGAAUAUCCAGAUGUACGAUGCCCUUCACGUAUUCGCACGUGAAGGGCAUCGUACAUCUGGAUAUUCUUUCGUGAAACUUUGGCGAACCAAGUUUAUGUUGUUGCCACGGAGGAACUCUGAUACCAUAAAAGCUCUCUGCUGCGGGGGUUGUGGCAUCGCCAUUUCAAAGUGUACGGGGUAUUAUACAAAAAAAUGUGUUUCAGCACAAACAACUCCAAAGCACAAAUUCCAUGGAAAUUAUAUGGAACUCUCAUGGGAGU